rnacentral:lncRNA from 1 species
CUUUAGCUCACAUCAUGAUCUCAGGGUCCUGGGAUCGAGCCCCACAUCGGGCUCCCUGCUCACUGGGGAGCCUGCUUCUACCUCUCUCCCUGCCUGCUUGUGAUCUCUACCUGUCAAAUAAAUAAAAUCUUAAAAAAAAAAAAAGAAGAAGAAGAAGAAGCAGCAGCUUGUGUCCCUGAAUCACCUUGAAGAAUAAAGCCACCCUUAGGGCAGGACAUUGGACUGGUCCGAGAGUGAGAAAUAACCUUCUAUUAAGUCCCUGAAAUUAGAGGGUUGGUUUGUUACAACAGCUAAUACUGCCCUAAUACAUACAGCUUACACUAAGUCUGUAUUUAUGCAGGAAAAGCAAAAUGGAAGACGAUCACAACCAAACAAAGAGUUGGAACCAAAGAUGCCACGUGCAUGUGUGCUGUCUACUUGCUGACUUCAGGAGAAAGCAGAUUAUAUUGUAUAUGGUGCGUACAAGGAUACACGGGAAGGCCAGGCACAGAAUCAUGAAUGGAAUCAGUUGCUAUGACAAGGGUUCAACCAAAAUAAUCCAGACUGAGCGUUCCCUUGCACCCUGUCUCAUCUACUUGGUGACUGCAAAGGCGGAGGACCCCGAUGAGAAGGAAGAACAUCGGUUUGGGCAUCCACCACAGUACGGGGACAACCAACAGGUCAGGACAGGGUUUCUAGCCCCAGCUGUCCCCCAGGGGCUGCCAGCUUGGGCAGAUGUCUUAGCUUCUGUGAAAUGACAUCACCAGGCGAGGUGUACUCUGAUGACCCCCAGGACUGACAAUUCUUGAUUCCUUUUGGACAUGGAAGUUUCACACUCCUUCAUUGCCCGUGUGGGCAAGAAGAUGACUUCUAGCAGUUCCAUUUGCUUCGUAUUCUCUGUCUUAAACAUCAUACUGAAAAAUAAGAUAGCUUUUCCCUGGGGGAAUAAAACAGUGGGGAGGCAUUG